rnacentral:rRNA from 1 species
CCCGCUGAACUUAAGCAUAUCAGUAAGCGGAGGAAAAGAAACUAACCAGGAUUCCCUCAGUAACGGCGAGUGAAGCGGGAGCAGCUCAAAUUUGGAAUCAUGCAGCGAUGUCGUUGUAUGAGUUGUAUUUGAGAGGGGGUGGAAUGGGUGGGGAGAGAGAGAUUGCGCAAGUUCUUUGGAAAAAGACAUGCUGCAGGGUGACAAUCCCGUGGCGCACACACUCUCCACCUACUUUCCACGCUCUACGAGUCGGAUUGUUUGGGAAUGCAAUCCUAAAUGGGUGAUACAUGUCAUCUAAAGCUAAAUAUCAGCAAGAGACCGAUAGCAAACAAGUACCGUGAGGGAAAGAUGAAAAGGACUUUGAAAAGAGAGUCAAAAGUGCGUGAAAUUGUAGCGAGGGAAGCGAUUUAUGGGGUUUUGUGGAUUGUUGGAGAGUGCAAGGGUGAGGGGAAAAGAGGGCAAGUAAGGUGGCAUCUCGUAUGCUUUAUAGACUCGCUCUUUUACUUUCACCGUUGCAUUUUGUUCAAACGAACUUUUCUCAAUGUGACACCAUAAACCGACCCGUCUUGAAACACGG